GUCGCAGUCGCCAGCAUUCUUUCGAUCAGAUACUGGUUUCCGCCCAAAUUUUCUAUAACCUGUAUUGUAAUCGGUGUAACCGGUGAACCUCAGUGUACAAGUUGAAUGUUUAGCUGUACAGUCGUCAACGUUGCGCACCGUAGUGCGAGUUAAUACUGCUCUUGUAUACUCUGCCACUUAGAGCACAUCUUUCCCGUAGACUAGGUAGAUUCGAGGAGAUGAUCGCUGCAGAGGAUAAAGGGAUCGGCUGAUUUUGGACAUGACAAGAAUAACGUUUAUCGCACAUUUUGGUCCGUACACAACUCACAAUACUAAAAUAACAAUGGUGAUGAUGAAUGAUAUGUAAUAAUAUCAUAUUUAUUAUAUACGGCAAUACGCGGAAAAGGAUGUUAUGUAUGAAUUAACAAUGACGACUAUAUUUAUCUGCAUCCCUUUACGUCCACUUGGAAGCUUAUAACAAAUGAUUCAGAAACGUUAAUUUCGCCCUGAUGAGUGAAGGCCGGAGUUACACAGGAAAUUAUGUCUAUCCGGUAUAUGAAAAAUGAUCAUUAUUAGUAAGUUGUCAUGUGGAGUUUCGUGAUCUGUUGAUAAAGCAUAUUAAUAUCAAGCUCAACAAUCACAACUGCCAUUGAAACUCUAUAGCACCACCUUUACACCACCGAACCAAAUGCUGGUGAUGUCAAACAGAAUGUAUCAGAAGAUAUUAUGGAAAUGUUCUUUCCUAAAAAAAAUAUAUAAUUCAUUCGCGGAUCUCGUGGAGCUAUCAUAAUAUCUAUGAAGCGGAUAUGCAGUUACAUUUGGUUUCUUGUCGGUAUCAUCCAUUGACUCACUUUUCUAGCAUUUCUCGGCUAUGGUUGCCAAAAUGUUCAUGUAUAAUUUACACGAUAGUUCGUCGUUUUCUGUGUAGCUCUCGUCGUCACUUGUCAGGGCGCCGUUAAUGAUUUUGAUUAUUCUGUUGUAAGCAGCCAAGUUGACGUAGACGGUUACAGAAUGUCGUCAUCGUUGGUUCGUAUAUAAUAUUAUUUUCCACGUACUUGUACUAUCAUCGUCAAAUAUUGUAAACAUUUGUAUUUCUUAAAAUAGUUUCACCGUUAUUAUUGUCGAUUUAAUAUAAUUAUAUUAAGUGGUCCUUUAAUUUUAUAAAAUCAAAAUUUUGAUGAAUUUAGUUUAUACUUAAAUAUUAACUGAUCAAGUUCAACACAUUCACUUUGCAGACAGUAAUAUACAUUAUUGU